rnacentral:rRNA from 1 species
UACGGGGGUUGCGAGCGUUGUCCGGAAUUACUAGGCGUAAAGGGCAGGCAGGCGGAUCCAUAAGUUUAUCGUUUAAGGCGUCGGCUUAACCGGCGUAGGGCGGUAGAUACUGUGGAUCUGGAAUGCGGUUGGGGAAGACAGAAUUCCUGGUGUAGCGGUGGAAUGCGCAGAGAUCAGGAGGAAUACCGAAGGCGAAGGCAGUCUUCCAAGCCGUUAUUGACGCUCAACUGCGAAGGUGUGGGUAUCAAACAGGAUUAGAUACCCGUGUAGUCCCUGA